UUCUUCCUCUUACGUCACUGUCAAAGCUCACGUGAUGUGGCAAACUGACAGAGGGAAGGUGGUGAGGCGUGGCUUUCUGCUAAGGGGCGUGGUUAUGAUGAAUCUGGAGGUACCUGUCAUGAAUCUGCUGGAUUAGACCUCAGUGACUGUUCUUGGAGGUCCUGGCAGCUAAUAAACUCUAGGGGCUCGAUGAUUGAAAGCUCUCUGGGCUGGCGAGAUUAUUAAAGAAUGCUCGCCAGUCCUAUUUCCCUGGUGGAAUGAUCUAAUCCACUUUUUACCCUAAAACAGGCUGUCUCGCUAAGGAGCGUAUACUGCAUUUUCAUAUGAAAUGUGCACAACAAAAUUUGUAUUUUAAACAUCAUACAAAGCAAAAAUUUGAACCAUUAACACAAAAAUAAGCAGGGAAAAAUUGUAUUGUUAAGGUGUAUCAAAAAUCGUAACAAAAUUCUUCACCAAAAAUCGUAUGUUAACAAAAAAGUCAAAUUUGUAUGUAAUUUACACAGGAAUAAAUCAAAUUAAAUAUGCA